rnacentral:tRNA from 1 species
GGAGAGUUGGCAGAGUGGUUUAAUGCAGCGGUCUUGAAAACCGUCGUGGGUAACUCCCACCUGGGGUUCGAAUCCCUAACUCUCCGCCA